UCGUGGUGGCUCACUGGGCCUAUAAAUUCACCACGCUCUCUUCCCCCUUCAUCCAAAUCAAUCGAGCACAGCUCUUCGUCCCUUCGUUGCGAAGCCAACGAAUCACUAGUCACUCUAUUCUGUCCACCACCCUCAGUGAUCAUCGGAGUUCCCUUGAAUCGAUUUCUUCCGCCGCCGUGAAGAACCCCUCCGUGGCCAGCACUCCUCGGGACUUGGAGAACGCCGUGGCGCCGUCGGUGAACACCGUCUGGAAUGACCUCACCAUGGCGGACCUAGUCUGGAGCUGGUUGCGAGCACGCUCAUGGGUUGUUCCGCUUCGUGGAGAAGUUUUAUUCCCUUAUCUUUUGGUUAGUUACUUCAUGUGGAGGCCUUGAAGCUUAGAAUGUUUAUGUGUAUCU
rnacentral:misc_RNA from 1 species